UACAGAGGGUGCAAGCGUUGUUCGGAAUUAUUGGGCGUAAAGGGCGCGUAGGCGGCGCGACAAGUCACUUGUGAAAUCUCCGGGCUUAACUCGGAGCCUGCAGGCGAAACUGUCGUGCUGGAGUAUGGGAGAGGUGCGUGGAAUUCCCGGUGUAGCGGUGAAAUGCGUAGAUAUCGGGGGGAACACCUGUGGCGAAGGCGGCUCACUGGCCCGUUACUGACGCUCAGGCGCGACAGCGUGGGGAUCAAACAGG
rnacentral:rRNA from 1 species